rnacentral:snoRNA from 3 species
AGGCUAUGAUGAGAAAAGUCAUGCACGACUCUGAAGAAAUUUAUCUCUUUGUGCUGAUAAAGCAAACUUACAAUCCAUUUUACAUCUGAGCCA